AUUUAAAUAGUAUAAUUAAUUACAUUUGAUUUCCAAUCAAAAAAUCUAUAAAAUAGUUUAAAUA
rnacentral:tRNA from 1 species